ensembl:ncRNA T05A6.8 ncRNA
CUGUGAAUAGGUAUGUCCGUUAAACAAUAGUGAGUUGAAUAACCUCCUGUGGAUUAGUGUUGGCAUGCCAUCUCGCUCCGCUGGAUGACCUCUCUCAAUCCGGUCAAGAGUGGGACAUGGUCCGUAUGCAAUCGAUCCUCACACAUUGUA